ensembl:lncRNA
AGGCGAGAAAGAGUGCAUGUUGUGUGUUUGACAGCAGAGGGCAGCGUGUGUCUUUGAAGCAUCCUCCUCGCUUGGUUCAGGCUUGUGCAGAACAAGGACAAUGACAGAGUGCAGACUGUGUCACAAAGGGAAUGGCUUAUUUAUCCAGUCUGUGUGCAAACGUAACACACAGUCGACACUAGACCGGUGGCAUUAAUUACUGUGAUCCAGUUCUCGAAAAGCGGUCUGCUUUGGUUUAUUUUGGUCUCUAAAUGGAACGACUCCAUCCUAGCAUGAAACAAAAACAUGGGCUCUCUGUAAAUUCACUUUUAAAUACUCUAUGAUUCACUGCACAGAAAGAUCUUUCACAUAUCAGAUUAAUCCUGCGUUAUACAGUUGAUUUAAUGCCUACAUGGGGCACUGAGUAUGAUUGAAUAUAGUUACAUUACUGUAAUCCACACAGAUGAAGCACAAGUGCAUCCCACAGCUGCUGCUAUGAAUUCAAACUAAACAAAAACAUCGCCUUCAAACAGAAAGGUCCUGUAUGCACUCGUUUAGACCUCGAGUCUGCUGGAAGCUAAUCUAUACCAGCCCGCCACAACAUUGAUGAUCUCAUUGCAAUACAAAGUUCAGCUGGGAAAUCUUCUGGUUUGGCUUUCCUUUAGAUGUUAUUAAGAGCAACGGCACCCGUGCCACAUUGCUGAAGGUCUUUAUCCGGUCCCAGAGGAUCUACGACUACCUUCCUGGUGCCAGACGCCAAAGGACAAUUCCCAGAUGUCUCGUUUCCAUGCACCAACCUGUUGGAGCUUUUUUGGAGGUGCAAGGUAACGUACUCAGUAUUAGGCUGAUGGCUUUAAAGUUGUGGUUUAUUAUUGUAUUAAAAUACCCACUGCAUCUUUUACCAAAUUCUUAGUAAAAAAAAAAAAGUUCUGCUCCAUGUGGGGUCUGCAAAAAAUAGUAGACACGCAAGACUAGAGCCUGACUGUCUGCCCAAAUUACCUCCGUGUGGAACUAUUAGUAUUGUGAUUUCUAACGAGUUCGGUAGAAACACCCUUCAGGCAAAUGUUGACGUUGCAUAGUUUGUCCAACAGAGGGCACUCUGCAACACGUGAUUUGAAUGCCACGCAGCAAACACAACAAGCAGCCCGUCACUAAUCUGGGAAGCAGGUUUACCAAAGUCAGACUCUAACUGUAAACUGAGCAGAUCAGGAACUCUGAGUUGGUAUUUUCAUGGAGGCUGGUCGGAGUAGGCAGCCAUUUUAAUGAUGCUGUCUGAAACAGAGGUCGCUUGUGACAUAUUGAGUCUCAUAAAGGUUAAAUAAAUAAAAAUAAAAUCAUGUUGGGCCACUCUAUAUUAUCAUAGAAAAAAGUUUGUACCAUAUGUCUGCCAUCGGAUCCGAAUUGAAUCCGAUCAUUUCCUAUCUGAUUUCUCAGGAUUAACAAACUCUGAAUUUUAGCUAAACCUGCUUCCUGGAAUAGGGCUGUGAUCUGAGAGGAGCAUAAUAUAAUAUAAUAUCACCAAAUACUGUUUGUUUGUUUUAAGAGUGUCUUUUGCGUUACAGUCAGUUCCUUACUGUGAUCUAAAAUUGGUCAUUCCACAAAAUGAAAACACAUCUGCAGCUCUUUAAUAAGCUCUUCUGUUUAUUUAUUCUUCAAACCAGCAUGGCAAGAAUUCAUGUUAUUAGUAAGGAGAAUAAUCAGUUAUCGCUUUUAGAUGCAUCUGAAAGUCUUAUGUUGCAUUUAAUUGAUUAAGACAAUUUGUGUAAUGAUAGCAUUACAGUCCAAAUUCUCAGUCAGUUAGGAGACUAUUAUUUGUAAAGUAGUAUAGAGCCAGUUUGACAGUAUCUUUUGUUUGGUGGUUUUCACUUCAGACAUUUUGACAUGUCACAGUAAGGUAAGGUGUAAAUAGUAGAAUUAAUGACUUCCAUUGAGCUGUUAAGGUGUCAGUGUCCCGGUACUGUUCCUGCUAUCAUACUGUCAUUGCUUAGUGGGAAUUUUAAAUUGAACAGAGCUGUAAUUUAUAUCAGUAACACAGAUAUUCUUCCUGUUAGUACAAGUCAAAAUAUCUGCUGUGAAAAGUAUCAGUGCAAAUUAAUAAAUAGUGGAAGUAGACCCAUUUUUGUACCUAGUGCGCAUUUAUGACACCAAAAAAAAAUGCAAAAUAGGACUGAAAAUUUGCCUAUAGUUAAAAACAAAAAAGAAUAGAGACUACAUCGCUUUCUUCAUUAUAUUUGGGUUGAAUUUGUUUGCUUUUUAGAUAUAUUGGAGCUUCUUUUUUACUGUCCCGGGGACUUGUCAGGCAACAGAAGUGCGAAUGGACAAAAUGUCUGCUUUCUAAAAGAUGACAUGCAAUUUGAGAGGUACCACGUAUACUUUGAAAAUGUCGAACCACACUUAAAAGCACGUACACCUGUCUUGACCUCCUCUCUUUUCAUCACUGAAUGGCUUCAUUGAGUGUAGCCAUCUCGAGCUGUAUAUGUAUUAAAAAACCCUGCUCCUUUCAUUUGGGGGAAAAUAAACUCAGAAUGGUCUCCGGUUUGAUGAUAAAGCACAUUUUUAUUGCAGAAGUACCCUUCAAAGAGAUACACGUACAUCCACGUUUGAUAUCCAAAAGUGACAAUACAUAUGAGGGACUUUCAGAAUAAAAGCCUCCAUCUUCUAAAGGUUCAGAUGAUAAACUGUUGAUGGCAUUUGCUGGAGGACUUGUUGUUGUGUAUGUAUGUGAAUACAUAAAACAAGGUGUGUAUAAACACUUGUACAGAUCUCGUCGAUGCUAAACCAGAUGAAAUGCGUUGCUGUUCUUACAACUAAAGCUAACAUGCUACCUUGCUUGUGAAUUAAGCUCGCGGCACGUCGUCCUCCCAUCUAGCUGCAUACUGUAUGUAUCUAGUUACAUACUGUACUUGUUGUAGUGAAAUGCAGAGCGUGUAGACAAAGCAGAACACACACACACAUCAAUGCAUGUCUGCGGGGGAACUGAGAUUGAUUUCUUUCUAGUGGAGACAGGUUUUUUUUCUUUUUAAAGAAUGUUUGAUCCAAACUUUCUGUGAUCGAUGCACUCGUUCCUUUUCUCCCCCCUUUUCUUCGUUUUUAAAUAUUAAUCGAUAUGAGCUAGAGGGAGAUUUGCAAGGCUGACGUUUUAGACGUACAAAUGAAAUUCUAUGUAUUUGUUGAAGUAGUUGGAGGUGCUCGCCUCUGUAUACAGUUAUACAUAGAAAGCUUUAUGUGUAUAUGGCUGCAUCUUCUCUUGUCUGUCCUGGAUGAUUCUUGUGCUAUUGUGUUACAAAACCGAUGUGACACCAGGGGGGAGGGAAACUGCAGUAUGUUGACCUUUUCACCCUUUGAUCCCCCUUUCCUUUUCUCCCCCCUCCCACCUCCCAAACACUCCCUCCCUCCCACCCACUCCCCUUGACUCCUGUGCCACCUACCCGCCU